GAUGAACGCUGGCGGCGUGCCUAAUACAUGCAAGUCGAGCGAACGGACGAGAAGCUUGCUUCUCUGAUGUUAGCGGCGGACGGGUGAGUAACACGUGGAUAACUUACCUAUAAGACUGGGAUAACUUCGGGAAACCGGAGCUAUUACCGGAUGAUAUUUUGAACCGCAUGGUUCAAAAGUGAAAGACGGUCUUCCUGUCACUUAUAGAUGGAUCCGCGCUGCAUUAGCUAGUUGGUAAGGUAACGGCUUACCAAGGCAACGAUGCAUAGCCGACCUGAGAGGGUGAUCGGCCACACUGGAACUGAGACACGGUCCAGACUCCUACGGGAGGCAGCAGUAGGGAAUCUUCCGCAAUGGGCGAAAGCCUGACGGAGCAACGCCGCGUGAGUGAUGAAGGUCUUCGGAUCGUAAAACUCUGUUAUUAGGGAAGAACAUAUGUGUAAGUAACUGUGCACAUCUUGACGGUACCUAAUCAGAAAGCCACGGCUAACUACGUG
rnacentral:rRNA from 1 species